rnacentral:rRNA from 1 species
GAUGAACGCUGGCGGCGUGCCUAAUACAUGCAAGUCGAGCGAACAGACGAGGAGCUUGCUCCUCUGACGUUAGCGGCGGACGGGUGAGUAACACGUGGAUAACCUACCUAUAAGACUGGGAUAACUUCGGGAAACCGGAGCUAAUACCGGAUAAUAUAUUGAACCGCAUGGUUCAAUAGUGAAAGACGGUUUUGCUGUCACUUAUAGAUGGAUCCGCGCCGCAUUAGCUAGUUGGUAAGGUAACGGCUUACCAAGGCAACGAUGCGUAGCCGACCUGCGAGGGUGAUCGGCCACACGGGAACUGAGACACGGUCCAGACUCCUACGGGAGGCAGCAGUAGGGAAUCUGCCGCAAUGGGCGAAAGCCUGACGGAGCAACGCCGCGUGAGUGAUGAAGGUCUUCGGAUCGUAAAACUCUGUUAUUAGGGAAGAACAAAUGUGUAAGUAACUAUGCACGUCUUGACGGUACCUAAUCAGAAAGCCACGGCUAACUACGUG